GGCCUCGUAGCUCAGUUGGCAGAGCGUUGGACUAGUAUCCCAAAGGUCGCGGGUUCGAUUCCCACCAUGGUCA